rnacentral:rRNA from 1 species
GUGGGGAAUUUUGCGCAAUGGGGGAAACCCUGACGCAGCAAUGCCGCGUGGAGGACGAAGGUCUUCGGAUUGUAAACUCCUUUUGCGGGGGACAAAUAGCGGCGUGAAUAACGCCGACUGAUGGUACUCCGUGAAUAAGCCACGGCUAACUUCGUGCCAGCAGCCGCGGUAAGACGAAGGUGGCGAGCGUUACUCGGAAUUACUAGGCGUAAAGCGUGGGCAGGCGGUUUGGUAAGUCUGCUGUGAAAGCCCCGGGCUCAACCCGGGGAGGUCAGUGGAUACUGCCGGACUUGGAUGUGGGAGAGGUGACUGGAAUUCCUGGUGUAGCGGUGAAAUGCGUAGAUAUCAGGAGGAACACCGAUGGCGAAAGCAGGUCACUGGACCACUAUCGACGCUCAUCCACGAAAGCUGGGGGAUCAAACAGGAUUAGAAACCCCAGUAGUCC